rnacentral:lncRNA from 1 species
CCAAGACCACAAUUUUUCCUAUUACAAAAUAACAAGAUCCAAACUAUAGAUAGUCACACAUCUCUAGUUGUUUUAAAGACAAACAGCAAACCCAAAGCAAAACAGCAUUGUAAGAGCUAAAGCUUUUGCUAUGGAAACAACUAGUGCAAUAUCAAUGACCCUAUGCUUGUUUAUCAGCACUAUCUUCCUUUCUUCCUUAGCUUGUGCAUAUCAUCUUAAAGACCCUGAAGCUGCUGGUAAUUCAUUCCUUUUCAAACAAUAUUAGUUCUCACUUUCUGGAUUGAUGUUGUUUUCAUGACACUAUUUCAGUCAUCAUAUUUCUUAUUAGCUCCAAAAAAUUAUUAAUACUUUUUAAAAUUUGAAAACAGUUGUUUAACUUGAACUUCUUGUUUUACACUUAACGACCAGCUUUUAUAGAUAUACAAAUGUUAUAAUUUGUUCAAAAUCGCAAGCAGGGGCGGAUGCACAUUUAUCGGUAUCACACGACAUUGCUUGAUCGAAUUUUGUUUUACUAAAUAUAUGUAUUAAUAUAGUGAGAAAGCGGAUAAGUAGGAAAAAAUGACACCACUUGACAUAAACUAUCUCUUGUCACAUUGGUUAUGUGCUUGAAUUCAUUCUAAGAGGUUAGAGGUUCAAACUUCAGCUAGAACAUCUUUUUUGUAAAUAUUUGAGAAAAUCUAUGUGGUUAAAUUUUUUGAUGAAGUAGAAUUUAAUUCAGAACUUUUUCUAACUUAAGACUCAACAAAACCAAUAAACUAAAUCUAUGUCUUGUCUAAAAGUAUGAUAAUUAAAGUUAUUAUUCCCGUUCUUCUAUAUUUGAGAAAAUCUAUGUGGUUAAAUUUUUUGAUGAAGUAGAAUUUAGUUCAGAACUUUUUCUAACUUAAGACUCAACAAAACCAAUAAACUAAAUCUAUGUCUUGUCUAAAAGUAUGAUAAUUAAAGUUAUUAUUCCCGUUAUUAUUCCCGUUCUUCAAAUAUCUUUCUUUCUUUAUUAUUUAAAUUUCGUAUCCGGUCAAACUAUGUCAUAUAAAUUGAAGCAAAAGGAGUAUAAAUUUUUUAUUUAACCUAUGUGUGCAGUUUUGGAGAAGGAAAAGAUAUACGAAGACGCAAAUGCAUGAUCGUAGAGGUGUGAGUAAAUGCGACAGAUUUCUCACAUUUGCAGGGUUCGCAAAUGUCACAAAUGCGACAUUUGCAACUGAAUAAAAUAUGACUUAGAUGGAAUUUUGGAUCAUUCUUCAAAUUUUCAAAAUCUAAAACCUUAGAGGUAAUUUUUCCAAAACUCCUUCUUCCCCCAAUUGUUGGUAAGUGAUUCUAACCUAUUCCUUUCAAUCUUUUACUACAUUUCACAAGUUUUCAACCCAAAAUCUAGAAUUUUCAUAGUGGAAUUGGGGGGUCCGGGUAGAAAUUAGGGAUUUGGUAAAUUGGGGAUUUAGACCUUAAGUUGGGGCCGGAUUCCAAAACAAAUUAUGUAACCGGGCUCCCGGUUGAAAGGGUAAUCGUGUUUUGAUCUGAAUUUCGGGUUUGGACCAAGCGGACCUGGGUGUUGACUUUUGUUGGCUUUUUCAAUAAUGACCAAAAUUGAAUUCUUUACCAUCGUGGUUAGUUCCUAAGUCUUAAUUAGAAUCGUUUGGUUCGUAAUUUGCUAGAUUCUAUUGGGUGGGAGGCUUGUUUGAAAGGAAAAUCUGUGGUUGAGCUUUGAGUUUGGGCUUUGAAGCGAGGCAAAUGUCGUGGUUAACCUUAACUUGAGGGAAUAUGACUUGUUUAUCUAUUUGCUACAUGCUUAAAUGUUGAGAACAACUUAUAUGCGUGAUGACGAGUACUUAUGCGUUGUAGUCGGGUUAAAGCAUGCAGGUGGGGCUUAGUUUCUUGCAAUUAUAGCUUCCUUUAUUUAUGUUAUCCAUGUUUAGACUAGUAUUGUUAAAUUGAUCGUUCUUAUUAUGUUUACGGAUCUUUUGGUGAUAAUUGAGUAUUGAUUCCGAAGUUGAGGUUGAUAUUGUGGAAUCAAAUGUUGAAGUAAGGCUUGUACUUUUUAUUUUAUCUCCAUGUUGUUAUUUAUUCAUUGCAUUAUAGUAAGGGAGAGUGUUAAUGCACGAAGGGUGAUGUCAUGCCUUAUUCCGAUUGUAAUGCACGUAGGGUGAUGUCGUGCCAUAUUGUGAGUGUUAAUGCACGAAGGGUGAUGUCGUGCCAUAUUGUGAGCGUUAAUGCACGAAGGGUUAUGUCGUGCCAUUUCUAUUGAUUUCAUGGUGAUGUUGAGAGUAAAAGCACGAAAGGUAAUGUCGUGCAUUUUCUUUUACUAUGUUUACUUGUUCUUAUUGGUUCAUAAUAUAUUGGCUAUUCAAGUUAUCAUUCUGCUGUAGUUCUCUAUCUCGUAUUCCCCUCAACAUGUUCCCCCUUCCGAUAUUGCCUGUCUAGUUUUUCCUUAAUGUUAUUUGUACAUAUACUAUUAAAUUGUAUAGGUUUGUUAUGUAGGCGUCUUGUCAUAGCCUUGUCACUAUUUCGUCGAGGUUAGGCUCGACACUUACCAAUACAUGGGGUCGGUUGUACUGAUACUAUACUCUGCACUUAUUGUGCAGAUUUUAGUAUUGGCUCCAGCUGAUCGAGAGGCAUAGCAGCUAGGACUUGUUCAUCAGAGACUCAAGGUAGAUUAGUCGGCGUUCGCAGACCUUGAAGUCCCCGUCUAUCUUUUCUGUUUUUUAAUGUUUCUUUCGUUCAAACAGUUGCAUUUCUUUUAGACAUUUACUUGUAAUAAAUCCUAGAAGCUCGUGAAUUGUGACUCCAGAUCCGGGUGGUAGUAAAUGUUGAAGCUUCUAUAUUAUUCCGCACUCGCUGUAUUUCAUUUUAGCUUAUUUGCUGUUAUUUACUGAAUUAAAUAAGGUUUGGCUUAAUAAUUCUCUAAAGUUGGCUUGCCUAGCAAAUGGUAUGUUAGGCGUCAUCAUGGUCCCGACGGUAG